AUCUUCUCAACUGGGUCAGCGCUUUGUUCUUAGCCACACAUCCCACACGUCUCCUUCUAUCCAUCCACACUUGCACCGGUUGUGGCCGCUUCACCACGCCAUGGAUUCGUCUCCCCGUUGUGGCUCACUCCCCCUCUCCAAGCAUUUGCCUCGCUGCCAUGAUCUCAUACCUCCUGGCUGCUCCGCGCCCUUCCCUGCGAGCUUGAGGAGAUGACGCUCGAGAUGACGCUCAGACACCCCUACAGAUGCAACACCAUUUUUUGCAAGGUAACCGUGCUUCUGCUAUGGCUUUGUUUUAAAAUAGCCGGUCGCAACUUUUUAUUUGUCGGUUCGAGCUUUUUAUUUCACCGAUCACAGAAAUUUCAUCCGCUAGCACCAAUUUUUUAUUUGCCCGUUCUGGAAUUUCUUUUCCCUCAGUAGUAGCAUUUCAGUUGCUGGUUCCAGCUAUUGAUUUUGCUAGUCGCAAUAAUUCCCUUUCGACAACCGGGUGUAACAUUGUGUUUCCCCAAUAGUAGCUUUUGGCAAUGAUGGUUCCAACUUUUGAUUUCACCGAUCCCAACAUACGUGGUCCUCGAUUCCAGCAAAUGUGACCUUUGUUCCAGCAAAUCAUCUCGCUGGUCACAACAUCCCUAGUUGCCAGUUCCAGCAAAUGCGGCCGCUGGUUCCAGCAUCUUGUUUUGUAGCCCUUUUUGAGCUGGACAGGAAUGAAGUCGUGCUGCAAAUAGACGAUUGAUGAGGACAUGACUAUCUUGGAUACGACCAAAAAUAUUGUGUACCGCUAGUUCUAGCAUCUUGUUUUGUAGCCCUUUUUGAGCUGGACAGGAAUGAAGUCGUGCUGCAAAUUUACGGUUGAUGAGGACAUGACUAUCUUGGAUACGACCAAAAAUAUUGUGUACAUACAUAUUUGUGAGGUGAUGUCUUAUAAAAAUUAUGCAAUAAUUUAUUUAUGUUAUCUAGAACAAAAAUACUUCACCUACUUUUAUUUCAUGUCUAAAUGCAGAAUUGUUGAACACUAGUACAAACCACGUGUGAAGACAAAGUAAAAUGAAAUGAUUAGGAGAAAAUAGAGACCAAGCCCCCCAUGUUCGGGACUCAAAUUCAAACUGCACGAACAAACCUGACUCAAAAUGCCAACAACUUUUACAUCUGGACUCCAAAUUGGGUGAUUAUUUUUUAUUAUAAAGUUUACUUCGUGUACUUUCCAACGCAAUUUGAUCCACCUUCAAAUUCCUUUUGAGUACGAAGAUAGAGGCAAAACAGUGCUACAGAAUCCGAGUCAGAAUCCAAAUCAAAAGGUGUUGCAUCACCUCCACUUGGGUCCAUGGGCCUUCUACGACCUAGGGUUAGUUUUAGGCUGCCUUGGGACGUCAUUGCACCCCUUGGCAGCCACCUAUAAGUAGAUCAAUCCCCUAGUUUUUUCCUUGUGAUUUGUUUAGUUAAAAGUUAGUCAUUGCAACUUCAUGUACUUUGUUUGUGUCCAAUGACCAGACCAAGACCGCUUUCAGAUCCCCACUUUUAUCAAUACUUCAUAUAUAUUCACAA